rnacentral:misc_RNA from 1 species
CUUGUGUUGGGUAGCCAUCAAGUGAAUAAAUUUGUCAUGAAGUAACCAACAUAUGUAAUUUCAUUACAAGCAUCACAUAAAAAUAGAAAGACACAAGUGCUCUCGAUCCAUAAAUGAGGAAGCAUAUGGCUGUAGAAACACCAGUGCUCCUCAAUCCAUACUCUAUCACAAGAAUAUAUCAUUAUGCCAACGGCUUGACUACACCAGGUGCAUUACACCGAAUGAAUAGAUGAGUGCUACCUGCUCCAAGUGUUUUGCACGGCAAAUAAAUAAUUAUACGGUAUCCUGAGUGUGUCACUCAUUUAUCGGUUUGGUGUAGCCAAAGUAUUUUCCGUUGGUUAUAUACAUUAACAGAGGAAGCAUAUCUUAAACAGCAUGAAUAAGCAAUCAGACAGUAUAUUCAAGAGUCUGGAGGACCAACUCAUCAUCCUCCUUUUGAUGCUUUCUUCUCUUUGUAAUGGAAAAUGGUUGAAGAAUGUAUCUUGACAAGCGGCUUAAAGGGUCCUGCAGACCUUCCAUUUCAUAGUGUCCAAAUCGCCAAUCUCUUUCAAUAAAAGGUCGCUGUAUAGGCUCAUCAAGCCCUCCUGCAUACAUUAAACCAUGUUUAUUAACUGCCCGAUAAAAUGGUCUUGUUCUUUUCUCUUUAGCAGCUCUUUGGAGGUCAUACCACGCAUGUGUCCGGUCUUCACGUGUAAUCUUACCAGUAGUCACCACCUUGGAAAACAAAUAGUAUGAGGGACGUGGGAUCCGUGCAAGACUAUUUUCACGAUCAACUGCCACAAGUCCAAACUUGGGACCAUAUCCAUCAGCCCAUUCCCAAUUGUCAGAAAUAGUCCAGAACAGGUAACCAAGCACAGGAACACCCAUGGCCAUCGCUGCAAAUACAGCAAGUAAAUGUUCCAACAGAUAUGGCCGACGAAUAAGAUCUGUAGCAUCAGAAACACCAUUCUCAGUAAUGAUGUAGGGCAGCUUUAGAUGUUUAUACCUCUCAUGGAACUGAACCAGCAUGCGGAAUAGGCCAUCAGGAUACACCCCACGUCCAGAUUCGCUAUAUUCAUCACUCUCCACUAGUUUAAGUCCAGCUCCACACACCACUUCCUGUCCGUAGUAGUUUAUGCCUAUGAAAUCCAACUUAGAAGAGAUACUAUCCACAUAUGGGAAAAUGGUAAGAGAAUUAGCCAGGGAUACAGCCGCAACAUCAAAGAGACCAUAUGGCCGCAUAAAUGAUACAUGGUGUGCCACACCAACUAAUGAAUUUGAAGAGGUCCUUUGUUGAUGGAUAUAGUCAUAUGCUUUUGCAUGCGCAACGGCCAUCCAAUGCAUGGCCUGGUUGAAAACACCAGUAGGCAAUGCAGAAGUGGCAACCUCCAACAUGUCAGGAUGACCACCAGGCCAAGCACCAGCACAAUAAGUUAGCAAACAAAACACAUGAGGCUCAUUAAAUGUCACCCAAUAGUCGACCAGCUCUGAUACACUGUCAACAACAAGCCUAGUAAAAUCCACAAAGUAAUCAACAGUUUUUUCAAGCUUCCAUCCACCAUAUUCACCAGCCCAUGGCGGCAAUGAGUGAUGGAAAAGGGUCAGCAUCACCUUCAUUCCAUAAGAACGAACCCUGUUGAUGAUCCACUUAUACCGCUCCAGAGCUGCAAAAUUUACAGUUUCUUUAAGCCCAUUGACAGGUUCCUCUGGCAUAACUCGUGUCCAAUCUAUUCCCAUUCGGAAAACACUAACGCCAGUAUUUUUUGCCAAAUUCAACUCCGUGCCAGGAUCGGACCAAAAUUUUAGCCUCUCCUCCGGGUGGGGAACAUUGUGCCAAGCAGCCACAUUAUGAUGGCAUUCUUCAUUUGGCACAGGCACUUCUUCCUCUGUGUACUUCUCAAAUCCUCUAAUCAUAGCUUCCAUAGCUAUCUUACGAUGCUUUUUCUUCUUAACAGGCUUAUUAACUUCUUUUCCAGAAACUGAAGCUUGCUGAGAUCCACCAUCAUCAGUAGCUGAACACAUCAGCGCACCUGCUGGUUCCAGGCCACGCUGUGAUAGUGAUUUGUCACAAGGGUUUUCCUCUGCAAACUGGAGCCAAGCAUCAUUGAGCCUGUCUUCAACAUGGGCUGGUGCUGUUGCCAAUCCAAAGAAAAACUCAUUUUCUUCUCCGCUAACAUUAAAAGACGCGAGAAUCUCAGAAGACUCAUCAAUUGGUGACUUGAACUGCCGGAGAUUCUUUCUCCGGUAACGCUCGAACGAGAACGCGUUGGCAGCGAUGGUAACAGUUGCCAAGACUCCGGCGAGCUUCGCAGCUGACACGAAGAGUGCCAAAAACGACAUUUUCAAGUAAAAACACAGCAGCAGAGAGUGAAAGAGCUUGAAAGUCCAAAAAUAACAGAAAAUUAAUAAUUGUCGAGGAUUUUUUUUUUUUUUUUUAAAUUAACUACGAUCCCA